rnacentral:rRNA from 1 species
UUGAACGCUGGCGGCAUGCUUUACACAUGCAAGUCGAACGGCAGCGCGGGCUUCGGCCUGGCGGCGAGUGACGAACGGGUGAGUAAUACAUCGGAACGUGCCCAGUAGUGGGGGAUAGCUCGGCGAAAGCCGGAUUAAUACCGCAUACGACCUGAGGGUGAAAGCGGGGGAUCUUCGGACCUCGCGCUAUUGGAGCGGCCGAUGGCAGAUUAGCUAGUUGGUGGGGUAAAGGCCUACCAAGGCGACGAUCUGUAGCUGGUCUGAGAGGACGACCAGCCACACUGGGACUGAGACACGGCCCAGACUCCUACGGGAGGCAGCAGUGGGGAAUUUUGGACAAUGGGCGAAAGCCUGAUCCAGCAAUGCCGCGUGUGUGAUGAAGGCCUUCGGGUUGUAAAGCACUUUUGGCGGGAACGAAAAGGACUGUGCCAAUACCACGGUUCGAUGACGGUACCCGCAGAAUAAGCACCGGCUAACUACGUG